UUUUUUUUUACAUACAACUGAGUUUUUGCUUACACAUUCUUUAAUUUCUUUUAAUUCCUGUUUCAGAAGAAGGCUUUAAUUGUGUGCUGCAGCCAAGGAGAUGUGAGCUCAAUCUCAAAUCCAUCGCCCUGACCAACUAAAACUAGGAGUUUCUAUAGCAGGAAGAGAGGAUAAAAAGAAGAGAGUUGUUGCAGAAAUUUGAAGAGACAACGGGUGAAAAUUUUAUAGAAUCUGUCAAAGACAUCAGAUUCACAAAUGGCUACAUAUACCAAGCAGGAUAAUGAAAAAGAAAUCCACACAACAGUAAAACUGCGUAACAUCAAAGGAAAAAAAAAUCUCAAAAGCAAGCAGGCAGAAAAGACCAAUCAUGAACAAAGAAAUGAUACUUAGACUGAAUGUAAACUUCUCUACAGCAACAAUAGAAGUCAGAAGAUGGUGGAAUAGUAUCUUCAAAAUGCUUAGAGAAAACAAGAGUCAACCCAGAGUUGCAAACCCAGUAAAACUGUUUUUUUUUUCUAUUUUUUUUUGAGACAGGGUCUUACUCCCACUGCCCAGGCUGGAGUGCAGUGGUCUGAUCACAGUUCACUGCAGCCUCGACCUCCUGACUCAGGUGAUCCUCCUGCCUCAGCCUCCCAAGUAGCUGGGAUCACAGGCAUGUGCCACCAUGCCAGGCUAAUGUUUUGUAUUUUUAGUAGAGGUGGUGUCUUGCCAUGUUGCUCAGAUUGGUCUUGGACUCCUGAGCUCAAGUGAUCAGCCCACCUCAGCCUCCUAAAGUGCUGGGAUUACAGGCAAAUCACCACAACUGGCCCAGUAAAACUAUCUUUCAAAAACAGGAUGAAAUGAAGACAUUUUUCAGAAAGAGUUAAUAAAAUCUAAGAGUUCACAAAGUGGCCCUCACUAUAGUAACUUCAAAAGGAGGAAAAUGAUCACAUAAAGAAGAUCAGAGAUGAAAGAAGAAACCAUGAGGCUGAGUGCAGUAGCUCAUGCCUGUAAUCCCAGCACUUUGGGAGGCCGAGGCAGGCAGAUCACUUGAGGUCAGGAGUUUGAUACCAGCCUGGGCAACAUAGAGAAACCCGGUAUCUACUAAAGAUACAAAAAUUAGCCAGGCGUGGUGACAUGUGCCUGUAAUCUCAGCUACUUGGGAGGGUGAGGCAGGAGAAUCACUUGAACCCGGGAGAUGGAGGCUGCAGUGAAGCUGAGAUUGCACACUCUAGCCUGGGUGACAGAGCGAGACUCGUCUCGGGG
rnacentral:lncRNA from 1 species